UAAAGGACCCCAUGCCUACGUGUUGAAGUCUUGGCUCCACGGCUCUCAGAGCGAAACCAACUAUCUCUUUAAGAAGGAAAGUGAAGACGGGAGGUUUACGCAGCUGCCGGCGAGCUUCCGACUGGCUCAUCCCCUCCAUCCACCUCUCCUCCCCCGCCCUCCACCUCUCCCUCCCCCCAGCCCCAGCCCCAGCAAGCACCCGCUAGCCACCUUCAGCUGGGGCUCGGGAGAGCAAUCCUGCUACCCUCCCGGGGCAGCCUAAACCAUGGAAGCCUUCGCAGGUUGCUGAUCAUCGUCAGGCGGCUGCUGCAGCGACUGCAGAGGCGCUGCGCCAAGCUGCGCCGGAGUCGUGCGAGCCGGCGGGACUGCGGAGGGCGAGUGGACCCAGGUGUGAAGACACUGGCCACAGAGGAAAACGGACAGCAAAAUAAUAUCGAACGGCUCUUGUGUCUGAGCUUAACUUUGCCCUUUAAGGCUUCUGUCAGGAACAGUGGUUUUACAACGCAGAAAACCCAGCCAUUGUGCAGAUGUCACGGGUGGGAGGACUCAGCUGGCAACCUGAUCCUUCAAGAAAGCAGUUUGGUUGGGAGAACAUCCAGACUCUUUGGUCCUAGAAUCCACCCAGGGAUCCAUCAUGAGGAAAUAACAUUAAAUGUGGAGCAAUAGCUACAGACAGAGAGAGCAUUGCACUGGCUUUGGUAAUGAGAAAGUACUCGUGGUUAGCAAAAGGGAAGAGUUAACCAUCGUGGGCCAGCGAUGGAAGAUUAUGCAAGGCAUAAACCACUGUACGUAUGCUCGAGUGUCUGUGUUGAUGUGGG
ensembl:lncRNA